CAGUGAAGCCAGGAGCAAAGCUGUAGAGGAACUGCUGCUCCCAGGACUCCAGCACAGGAAUGUGAGAUCUGUUGAAGUUUAAGUGAAGUUCUAUCAGGUGUCCUGUUCUUAGCCUGAAAGCGUAGAAUGAGAAAGUUGGUGAGAAAAGGAAAGAGACAAACGUGUUCUGGUUAAAUGCGAUUCUUGCUGGAGUACUCAGCUCUCAGGCCUCUAAGUCACAAAAACACACCUUAAAACCACGCAGACAAGUUGCAGUUAAAAACAUAGGCUCACUGGAAGAAGGAUACUGCACAGAGAGAAACGCUGAAAAAAUGAGUUUGACACCUAUGGAAACAAAAAACAAACAAACAAAAUAAUUAAAGAGCUAAAAACAACAUUUGGAGACAAAGCACAGAGCACACAGUUGAAGACUUCUCAAUGACAACUAGAUCUGUCACAGUGACAUCCCUGCUAGUAAAAAC
rnacentral:lncRNA from 1 species